ensembl:lncRNA
AAGUGAGCUGGGUGCUCAUUUUAUCAACCUUGUAAGGAUGGAAGGCUGAGCAAACCUUGAGCCGGCUACCUGGGAUUGAACCCCAGGUCAAGGGCAGAGUUUUGGCUGCAGCACUGCACUUUAACCACUGUGCCAUGAGGCUCCAAAACUAAAAGGGCACCUCCAGCAGUGUGCUGCCCUCAGUUGGGAGCCAAGUCCACCCCCCAAUCUGAGGGUGGCAAGGUGUCCUGGCAGUGCCAAACUUGGAUCGCAACGUGGCACUUCCCUACACCCUAUUUGCUGUGGAGUCCUCGGGUCCAUCAGUCAGACGUUUCUUCCCUCUUCUGGCUUGGAGAUUCUGGGGAUUUUUGUCCAAAUAAAGAGAAAUGUCCCAAGCUCUACUUCUGGCCAUGUUAUGGAGGGCCAACAUCCUCCUCAUCCCAUUCAUCUAACCAAGAGUCUCCUACCAGGCUAGGCCAGUUGACAGUUCCUAGGCGUGAUAAGUCAGCCUAUGUGGAGAUGACUGGAAAAAACAGUUCUAUCAUCUUCUGGCUCUCUGACCAGCAGAGGUGCAAGGAGGGCAGGCCAGCUGAGGCUUUGGCCCAGGGCGCUGAAAUUCAGAGAGGGUCAAAAAUGGCUGCUGGAAGGACACAGCUUCUGCAAGUAUUUGCUGCUUAAUCGGUACCAGUCUAUCCACCUCCUCCAGCCACUCCUCCUGAGCAGAGCCUAAAAGGAAUGGCGCUCAGCCCAGAACUGACACAGUCCUUGUGCGCCCAAUAGCUGAGUGGUUUAGGUCAGAAGCCAGAAGUUUGGGAGUUCGAUUCUCUACUAUGCCUCCUUGCCAGGGGCUGGAGGCCUCCAUGACCCUUCGGGCCCCUUUUCAGCUCUGCAGGUUGAUGAUGGUGAGGAUGGUGAGGAUGAUCCAGCCAUUCUUCCGCCCGGCCUAUGCCAAUCUCAUGGGAUUCAAUCUCAGCCAAUAGGGUAGCACACCCCAGAUACCAGCACUGCGGAUGCCCUUCUCUGCCCUUUCGCACCCCACCGGUCCCCGUCUCUGCCUUCUUUGCUCUUCUUCAUCCGUCCACCCACACAACUCCGUCCCCCCCCUCGCCUCACCCUCUGGUCCUCUGGCCCCCCACCCCCUUUUCCUCCGCCCAGUGAAGUAUUCCAGGCCUGGGCUCCCUUUCCUUCCGUCCCCUCCCAGGAGCAUCUCCUCAGCAAGAGGUCCAGGGAGGGGCGCCCGAUCGACGGCCCCCCAGAGAUGCUGCUGCUGCUGCUGUCACCGCCUCCUAGCAACGCGCCUAACAACCGUCUCCGCUCUCCUCCCGCUGGACCAAUCCGGGAAGGCCGGGGAGCAUCUGCGCGCCUCCCGCCCUCCCGCCUGCCAGGCGGAGGAGAGGCGGCGAUGCGAGGCGCUCGCCACUGCCUGGAGGGACCCACCGGAGCCCGGCAGCCCGUCGGUGUCGGCGUGCCUCCCCGCCCCCAGAAAGGUGUGCGCAGGAUCCGGGAGCCUCGUUGCAGCGCCAGCCGCCGCCGCCGCCUUCUCUUUGGCAUGCGCGCUCACGCCGCAGGUGGGAAGGUGUUUGUUCAGCAGACCUGCGUGGGAAGCAAUGCUAGCUGAGCCUGCGCAAAGAGAGAAACUCAUUAGGACUGCUGAAAACUCAGCACAAAGGCGCUUUGUGGAUUGAUUCGGCAUUACAAGAUCCACGACAGGUACCGACAAACACCUUAACGACGUCGAAAGUAGCCUAUUUUAAGAGGAAAUAUGCAGAAGAAGAAGAUUUACAUCAAGAUUACCAGGGGUAUUUUCCAAAA